rnacentral:rRNA from 1 species
UACGAAGGGUGCAAGCGUUACUCGGAAUUACUGGGCGUAAAGCGUGCGUAGGCGGUUUGUUAAGUCCGUUGUGAAAGCCCUGGGCUCAACCUGGGAAUUGCAGUGGAUACUGGCAAGCUAGAGUACGGUAGAGGAUGGUGGAAUUCCGGGUGUAGUGGUGAAAUGCGUAGAGAUCCGGAGGAACACCAGUGGCGAAGGCGACACGCUGGGCCGUACCUGACACUGAUGCGCGACAGCAUGGGGAGCAAACAGG